AGUGAACGCUGGCGGCGUGCCUAAUACAUGCAAGUCGAACGAAGUGGCGCACGGGUGAGUAAUAUAUAGUUAAUCUGCCCUACACAGAGGAACAACAGUUGGAAACGACUGCUAAUACACCAUAGUGUAGGAUGAGACUAUAUCGUAUCAGCUAGUUGGUAAGGUAAUGGCUUACCAAGGGUAUGACGCGUAACUGGUCUGAGAGGAUGAUCAGGCACAUUGGAACUGAGACACGGUCCAAACGCCUACGGGAGGCAGCGGUGGGGAAUAUUGCACAAUGGGGGAACCCCUGAUACAGCAGCGCCGCGUGCGGGAUGACGGCCUUCGGGUUGUAAACCGCUUUAAGCCAUGACACGGUAGUGGCAGAAGAAGCACCGGCUAACUACGUGCCAGCAGCCGCGGUAAUAC
rnacentral:rRNA from 1 species